rnacentral:lncRNA from 1 species
GAACCCAAACCUAAUCUCCUACUUCGAAGAUGAAUCGCUUUCUGCCCUUGUUUGCUUGCUUUGUAUACUGUUGAGUCCUUCGUUCGAGGUUCUCCUUAACCUGUUGAUGCAAUUUCUUCACGUAUUCUACUUUUGCUUUACCGUCCUUGUUCAUCACCUGUUCCUGCGGCAAAGGCAACAUAUCUAGAGGCGUAAUAGGAUUAAAGCCAUAAACAACCUCAAAAGGUGACAUCUUAGUAGCAGAAUGUACAGCAUGGUUAUAAGCGAAUUCAACGUGUGGCAAACAAUCUUCCCAAGUUUUGAUGUUCUUUUUAAUGAUGGAACGAAGUAAAGUAGAUAAAACUCUGUUAACAACCUUAGUUUGCCCAUCAGUCUGGGGAUGACAAGUAGUAGAAAACAUAAGUUUCGUACCUAGUUUGCUCCAAAGAGUCCUGCAGAAAUGACUCAAAAACUUCACAUCCCUGUUAGAAACGAUCAACCUAGGAAUACCAUGUAAUCGUACAACAUCUUUAAAGAACAAGUUAGCCACAUUAACAGCAUCAUCAGUCUUAUGGCAUGAAAUGAAAUGUGCCAUCUUCGAGAACCUAUCAACCACAACAAAUAUACUAUCCCGACCUGUUCUAGUUCGAGGUAAUCCCAAAAUAAAGUCCAUUGAAAUAUCAGUCCAAGGGGAUUCAGGAAUAGGUAAAGGUAAGUACAUACCAUGUGGUGAAACCUUCGAUUUUGCUUUCUUACAUGUCACACAACGUUCACAGUAGCGUUCAACGUCCCGGCGCAUCUUAGGCCAGAAAAGAUGCUCUUUUAAAGUGCGUAACGUUUUAGUGACCCCAAAAUGACCCAUCAAUCCACCUUCAUGUGCUUCACGGAUCAGUAUAUCACGCAUUGAACCCUGUGGAAUGCAUAUCCUAUUUUCUUUGAAAAGAUAUCCAUCAUGCCUGUAGAAUUUUCCAUCUGCACCUUUCUCACAAGCAUUAUACUUAUCGCAAAAAUCAUGAUCAUCAGAGUAUAACUCUCGAAUAUAUGCAAAUCCAAUCAAAUGUGAAUCAAGAUAACUCAAUAGUACAUAUCUACAUGAUAAUGCAUCAGCAACGGCAUUAUCUUUCCCUUUUUUGUAUCGAAUGACAUAAGGAAAAGAUUCUAAGAAUUCAACCCAUUUAGCAUGUCGUUUGUUCAAUUUAUGCUGACCUGUGAUAUAUCGUAAAGCCUCGUGGUCAGUGUGGAUCACAAACUCCUUAGGCAACAAGUAAUGCUGCCAUGUCUCCAAUGUCCGAAUCAGUGCAUACAUCUCUUUAUCAUAAACCGGAUAAUUCAAUGUUGCUCCACUCAGUUUCUCGCUAAAAUAUGCAACGGGCCUCUUUUCCUGUAUUAAAACUGCGCCUAUACCAACUCCAGAAGCAUCACAUUCAAUUUCAAAAGUUUUAUCAAAGUCAGGUAAGGCUAACACUGGUGCUUUUGUCAAACAAUCCUUAAUUUUUAGAAAGGCAUCUUCUUGUUCUUUACCCCACAAGAAGCUGGAAUUCUUCUUAAUAAUUCCGGUUAAGGGUGCGGUAAUAGAACUGAAGUUAGGAACAAACCGUCGAUAAAAACUAGCUAAACCAUGAAAUGAUCUAACCUGAGUAAUCGAUGUUGGUCGUGGCCAUUCCUAAAUUGCCUUUAUUUUCUCAUGAUCAACUUCAACACCCUGUGCACUCACAAUAUAACCAAGAAAUGUAAGUCUGUCAGUACAAAACACACAUUUCUCUACGUUACCAUACAAUCUUUCUUCUCUCAAAGUCUGCAAUACAGCUCUCAGAUGUUCUACGUGAUCCUGCAAAGUCUUGCUAUAAACUGAAAUGUCAUCAAAGUACACAACACAAAACUUUCCAAUAAAAGAUCGCAGAACAUGAUUCAUUACUCGCAUAAAAGUACUAGGUGCAUUACUUAAACCAAAAGGCAUCACUAACCAUUUAUACAAACCUAGCUUUGUUUUGAAGGCUGUCUUCCAUUCGUCGCCUUCUCGCAUGCGAAGCUGAUGAUAUCCACUCUUCAAGUCAAUUUUGGAGAAGAUGACGGCUCCGCAAAGCUCGUCCAACAUGUCAUCAAGUCUAGGAAUAGGAUGACGAUACUUAAUUGUAAUUUGAUUCACAGCUCUACAAUCUACGCACAUCCUCCAAGACCCAUCUUUCUUCGGUACUAACAACACCGGAACAGCACAUGGACUCAGACUUUCUCGAAUAUAACCCUUGUCCAUCAAUUCUACAACUUGCCUUUGAAGCUCUUUCGUCUCUUCAGGGUUAGUACGAUAAGCUGGUCGAUUUGGAAUGGUAGCACCUGGAAUGAAAUCAAUCUGGUGCUCAAUGCCACGAAGAGGUGGUAAUCCCUUCGGUGUUUCUUUUGGAAACACAUCCUCAAACUCUUGCAAAAGGGACACAAUCGAUGCAGGCAAAUUAGCAGGGAACUCAGCCAAUAAACAAUGAUCUUUAAACAUUAAAAUAAACAAGGAUUGGUGAGAGGAAAGACAUUUCCUGAUUUCUCGACUGCUUGCAUAUACACUCAUCUUUUUCUUCUCCUUUGCAACUUCCUUACUCUUUUUCAAGCUUGUUUGAUCUUCAAUUACUUGAAUCGGUGUCAAAGGAGCCAAAGUAAUCUUCUUACCUGCAUGCAUAAAAGAGUAUCGAUUUGUAAAACCAUCAUGCAUUGCCCUCUUGUCAUACUGCCAAGGGCGCCCCAAAAGAAGGUGAGUAGCAUCCAUCGACACAACAUCACAAAGGACCUCGUCCUUGUAGUUUCCAAUUGAAAGCGGUACAACCACUUGUUUCGUCACUUUAAGUUCUCCACCGUCAUUCAACCACUGCAACUUGUACGGAUUCGGAUGCUUUGUCGUCUUAAGACCUAAUCUGUCAACCAUCACUGAACUAGCAACAUUAGUACAACUACCGCUAUCAAUAAUCACAACACAUACCUUAUCUUAAACCUUGUAUCGUGUGUGAAAGAUAGUCUCACGUUGUUGCUCAUCUUGCACCUGUUGCACAUUCAAACUACGUUUGACAACCAUGAUCUCCAUAACUUGACCAGAUUCAGCAACUUCUAGGUCAUUCUCUUCAUCUUCUUUAGUCGGGAGUUCAUGUACUUCUUCCUCAGAAUCUGACUCGAUCUCUCCAUCUUCUCGCAUCAACAUAACCCUCCGAUUAGGACACUGGCUAGCAAUAUGUCCUCUACCAAGGCACUUAAAGCACUGAAUAUCUCUUGAUCGUUCUGGUGCCACCAUUGGUUGUUGGCCACGUCCAUUAUCAGCAAUAGGAGGCUUUGGUUUGCUGGAUUCACCUGGCUCUCGAAUCCGUAAUGGCGGUUGUGGUGCUUGUUUCCUGGUAUUGUUAGGGGUAUAUAAAGGAUUCGAAAAAAGAUUUAAAUGGAGUAUUACCUCGAGUAGAAGCUUUUCUACGUUAUUGUCGCUCAAUUUUGAUCGCCAUAUGCACCAUGUCAUCCAACUCAACAUAAUGUUGCAUUUCAACAAUGUUUGCUAUUUCAGAAUUUAAACCUGCCAAAAACCGAGCCAUAGUCGCCUCACGGUCCUCAACUAUGUUUGCACGCAUCAUGGACAUCUCCAUCUCCUUGAAAUAGUCCUCAACGCUCUUGUUGCCCUGUUUCAAGGUUUGUAAUUUCUGAAAUAAAUCUUGAUGAUAGUGAGAAGGAACAAAUCGUCUCCGCAUGAUACGCUUCAUAUCUUCCCAUGUUCUCACUAGACCUUCACCUGUAUGUCGUCGACUAAUCAGUAAUUGGUCCCACCAUACUAGUGCAUAGUCAACAAACUCCAUAGCUGCUAGUCGAACUUUUUUCUGUUCUGAGUAGUUAUAACACUCAAAAACGUGUUCAACCUUGCUUUCCCACGUCAGAUAAGCAUCUGGAUCUGAACGUCCCUGAAAAGAAGGUAUGGCAACUUUAAUGUUAGAAAUAUUAUCGUCAACUGUGCGUCCUGGUCGUUGAUUCACCCUUGGUGAAUGUUCAAUGUCAUUUUCAUCAUUAUGUUCAUUAUGGACAGAUUGUGAACCACCCCCUUCAAUCUUGUCCAAACGAGAGUGUAUAGGCUCUAAUGCAUUUUCUAAUAGACGUUGCAAGGUGCGAGUAAUAGCUUGCAUUUGCAAAUCUGGUGGUUGAUCUCCACCACGACUACGAUCUUCUGUUCCUGUCAUCUAAAGCAACACACAAGAAUACAGAUAAUGAGUUAAGUUAAACAAAAGUAAAAGUCCUCACAGCACACUCUCAAAACCUCUCAGUUUUCACUCCAAAGAACUGUGCACUCAAAAAUAGCACUCAGCGCUCGUGUUUCACUCGGGAGAAUGAAUGAAUGACUCUUUUUGUCUCCCCUUCUGUUCUCACAACGCUCAAUGCCUUUUUCCCUCACAAUUUCUCGUUUUUUUAGUUCUUUAAAGGACUAAUCCAACAUUUCAGAACCUGUUAUAAUUGUGUUGGCUAUAAGGAAAAAACACACGGUUAGAGAGAAAAAAUAAAUAAACAAAGGGAAAGGAUAAGAAAAGAGUAAAAGGAUAAGAAAAUAAAAUAAACAAAGGGAAAGGAUGGAAUUUAAAUAAUUUAGUUUCUUACUGCAAAGAAGUGCUUUACAACGUUCCUAGCACCAAACAAAUAAGAAAAGUUCGUUUCGGUUGAUAUCCAAGCACUUCGCAAUUACAGAGUACAAAACUAAACAUUAUUCAACAUUUCAACAUAACAAAACACACUUUUUCUUUCCCAAACUUGAUGAAUUUCAAUUCCUCUUUUUUUUUGAAUCUAAUUUUUCUUUCUCUUUUUGUUUUUUGUUUUUUUGUUUUGAAAUUGCGAAACUGAUAUAUAUAUUUUUGUUUUGAAUUUCGAAAUUUUCUUGUUGGAGAAGAAAAGUACAAUAAUUCAAACACUAGGCUCGGAUACCAGAUGAUACGAUGUGCUUAUCAGCGCCUGACCCUGAGAUGUGGAUCAUCCAAGGCACAUUAGCAUGGUGUACUUCUCCUGUUCGAACCGAGGUUUGAAACCAAACUUCUCCUCAGGAGGAUAGAUGGGGCGAUUCAGGUGAGAUGCAAUGUAGAUCCAACUUUCUAUUCACUCGUGGGAUCUGGGCGGUCCGGGGGGGACCACCACGACUCCUCUCUUCUCGAUAAUCCAUACAUCCCUUAUCAGUGUAUGGACAGCUAUCUCUUGAGCACAGGUUUAGGUUCGGCCUCAAUGGGAAAAUAAAAUGGAGCACCUAACAACGUAUCUUCACAGACCAAGAACUACGAGAUUGCCCCUUUCAUUUUGGGGUGACGGAGGGAUCGUACCAUUUGAGCCUUUUUUUUCAUGCUUUUCCCGGAGGUCCGGAGAAAGCUGCAAUCAAUAGGAUUUUCCUAAUCCUCCCUUCCCGAAAGGAAGAACGUGAAAUUCUUUUUCCUUUCCGCAGGGACCAAAAGAUUGGAUCUAGCCGUAAGAAGAAUGCUUGGCUGAUAAAUAAUUCACUUCUUGGUCUUCGACCCCCUCAGUCACUACGAACGCCCCCGAUCAGUGCAAUGGGAUGUGUCUAAAUAUGAAUACACUACACCGGUUGCACAAAAAAAUGGGUUUUGCACCAAUGUAAGUAAAGUCUGAAAAAGGUUUUAUAAGAUUAAAAAGGUCCGUUGAGCGCCUCAUGGAUAUGUCAUAAUAGAUCCGAACACUUGCCCCGGAUCGACUUCCAGAUCAUAAUUGCUCUAGUGAAUAACUAAAGAAAAAAUAGAUAGAUAAAAAAUAGAUAGAUAGAUGAGAGAUAAAAGAGAAAGAAACUAAUUAUAAGCGUCUCUCAUAGGUUCACUAAUUACUGACUGUUGGCGGGUCUCUUUGUAUGUGUUGUCCGGAAAGAGGAGGACUCAAUGAUUAUUCGUUCGCCGGAACCAGAAGUAAAAAUUUUGGUAGAUAGGGAUCCCGUAAAAACUUCUUUCGAGGAAUGGGCUAGGCCGGGCCAUUUCUCAAGAACAAUAGCUAAGAGACCCGAUACUACCACUUGGAUCUGGAACCUACAUGCCGAUGCUCACGAUUUCGAUAGCCAUACCAGUGAUUUGGAGGAGAUCUCUCGCAAAAUAUUUAGUGCCCAUUUCGGCCAACUCUCCAUCAUCUUUCUUUGGCUGAGCGGCAUGUAUUUCCACGAUGCUCGUUUUUCCAAUUAUGAAGCAUGGCUCAACGAUCCUACUCACAUUGGACCUAGCGCCCAGGUGGUUUGGCCAAUAGUGGGCCAAGAAAUCUUGAAUGGCGAUGUGGGUGGGGGUUUCCGAGGAAUACAAAUAACCUCUAGUUUUUUCAGAUUUGGUGAGCAUCUGGAAUAACUAGUGAAUUACAACUCAAUUGUACCGCAAUCGGUGCAUUGGUCUUUGCGGCCUUAAUGCUUUUUUCCGGUUGAUUCCAUUAUCACAAAGCGGCCCCAAAAUUGGCUUGGUUCCAAGAUGUAGAAUCUAUGUUGAAUCACCAUUUAGCAGGGCUUCUGGGGCUUGGGUCCCUUUAUUGGGCGGGGCAUCAAGUACAUGUAUCUUUACCGAUAAACCAAUUUCUAAAUGCUGGAGUAGACCCUAAAGAGAUCCCACUUCCCCAUGAAUUUAUCUUGAACCGUGAUCUUUUGGCUCAACUUUAUUCCAGUUUUACCGAGGGAGCAACCCCAUUUUUUACCUUGAAUUGGUCAAAAUAUGCAGAAUUUCUUACUUUUCGUGGAGGAUUAGAUCCAGUGACUGGGGGUCUAUGGUUGACUGAUAUUGCACACCAUCAUUUAGCUAUUGCAAUUCUUUUCCUAAUAGCGGGUCACAUGUAUAAGACCAACUGGGGCAUUGGGCAUAGCCUAAAAGAUAUUUUAGAGGCUCAUAAAGGUCCAUUUACAGGCCAAGGGCAUAAAGGACUGUAUGAAAUCCUAACAACAUCAUGGCAUGCUCAAUUAUCUCUUAACUUAGCUAUGUUAGGCUCUUUAACCAUUGUUGUAGCUCACCAUAUGUAUUCCAUGCCCCCUUGUCCAUAUCUAGCUACUGACUAUGGUACACAACUGUCAUUGUUCACAUAUCACAUGUGGAUUGGUGGAUUUCUGAUAGUGGGUGCCGCUGCGCAUGCAGCCAUUUUUAUGGUAAGAGACUAUGAUCCAACUACUCUAUACAACGAUCUAUUAGAUCGUGUCCUUAGGCAUCGUGAUGCAAUCAUAUCACAUCUCAACUGGGUAUGUAUAUUUCUAGGCUUUCACAGUUUUGGUUUGUAUAUUCAUAAUGAUAUCAUGAGCGCUUUAGGGCGUCCACAAGAUAUGUUUUCAGAUACCGCUAUACAAUUACAACCCGUCUUCGGGAUCGAACAUCAAUUGCAACGAUUCGAUAAACGGCUCAUUAGGAUAGAUGUAGUUAAAUAAUACCCCCUAGAAACGUAUAAGAAGUUUUCUCGUCGUACGGCUCGAGAAAAAAAUGAUUAAUUAAAAGUUAUGUCUAUGUAUGGAAUUAGAAUGUAUGGAAUUAGAAUGUCAAAAAGACCCAUAAACCAGCAAAUCAAUUAGACAUUUAACACCAUCUUUUUUUUUCAAAAAAAGAAGAAGAAAAAAGCAUUCGUACUCUCAUAACUCAAGUCAAAUAACUCGCAAAAUGAUCAAAAAAUAAUCCUUAGGCAUUCCUUUAUUGAGUGGUCUCUGACCCCUUUUUGUUUGUCUCGCUUAGAAUCUAUUUCGAUUCUUCAUUUUAAUCUAGUUGUUGAGAAAAUGGAAAAGGGUAUUUCCUUGUUCUAGGAUCUUUUAUCUUUGCCUUAAAUCAUUGGGUUUAGACAUUCCUUCAGCGAUAUUUAAUCAUUUCCAAAAAGGCAGCAACAUGCCCUUUUUUCUCUCUUUUUUUUCUAUCAAAGAAUCAUAUGAACGAUUAAUUCCCGCAUGAUACACUUUUGAUCGAAAGAGUUUUACCAAUUCCAACAACUUUUCUUUUUGAUUUGAAAAUAGUUGGAAUCGGAUCCUUUCGAUUUCUAUAUCACAAAUAGACUUACGAAGUUGUUCCAACUUAUUGAUUUCCAUUAACUAACCCUAGAUCCUUGCCCCUGAAAAAUGGAUGUUUCUCUUCGAGCUCCAUCCUGUACUAUUUACAUUACAACCCAACAAAAAGACGGAUUAUAAUAGAACAAAGGAUGUCGAGCAAAAAGCACCUUCAUUUCUACAUAACGGAAAGUGGUGGGUUUUGACAUCCACAGCUGAUCAUGUCCUUCAAGUCGCACGUUGCUUUCUACCACAUCGUUUCAAACGAAGUUUUACCAUAACAUUCCUCUAGUUUGGAGCAUUGAUUCAAUUAUGGAAUCAUGAAUAGUCAUUGGUUCAGUCGAUACAUAGUAAUCUAUCUAUACUUUCUAUAUGAAAUCAAUUUCCUUCUAUAUGCUAUAUGAAAUAAAUAAAUAAUUUAGGAAGAAAAAGCCUCAAUAAGAAUUCAAACUACCCCAUAUUGUAUGAUUGUCUGAAUGUAAUAUUUUUUUAUUUUUUUAAACUUUUAUUAUACUUUUCUAUUCUAAUUAAACUUUUCGAUUCUAAUUAAAAAAAUAAAUAAAGAAUAUCAUUAAUAAUAAUAUUACGAAAAUACUAAUAAUAUCACGAAUAUUAUAAAUAACACAAAUAAACUAAUCUUUUUGAAUCUACCGUGCAUCUUCAAAUAACCCGAUAGAUCAAAUAACUCGGUAGAAUAGAUCCAACAAUCUCACAGUUGUUCGAGUGCCAAUCUUAAGAAAUCAUUAAAAAUCAAAAGCAAGAAUCCCAUUUUCUACAAUACUUGACUGUUAGAAAGAAUGUUAUUAAAAACAAAAAAAGAGCAAUUUAGAUUAGGAUAUGGUUAUUCUGAUAUAUAAAUAGAGUAUGCUCUGGGACGGAAGGAUUCGAACCUCCGCAUAGCAGGACCAAAACCCGUUGCCUUACCACUUGGCCACGCCCCAUUUUGAUUUCUAUUUGAAACUACUAAACACUAAAAUGGGUAUUCCUUGUUCGUCAAUUCCAGUUCCAAAUAGCUAUAGCUAUGGAAUAGAUUCUUGCUACGAUUUUUGCACGUAUGGAUAGAGAAUUAAAUCGAAUUUAUUGAUCAUUACAUAGAAUUCAAUUAAGAUAUUGUAUGAAAGUAUGAUUUCUUCUAUUCUCUUGUAAGAAUUGAAGGCUUUUUGAUUGGGUGAGUUCAAAGAAGUAUUGUUUAGUCUGCCUUAUUUUCCUUUCUUCAUUUUUUUCCUUAUAUCAAAAAACAUAUUAAUAACUCAAUCAAAAUUAUCUCCAAGAACAAAAUUUUGUUAUGCUUAAUAUCUUUAAUUUGAUCUGUAUCUGUUUUAAUUCUGCCCUUUUUUUGAGUAGUUUUUUAUUCGCCAAAUUGCCCGAGGCCUAUGCUUUUUUGAAUCCAAUCGUAGAUUUUAUGCCAGUAAUACCUGUUCUCUUUUUUCUCUUAGCCUUUGUUUGGCAAGCUGCUGUAAGUUUUCGAUAAGAUCCUUAAUACUGUCCUAGAAAAAUUCAUGAGUGAUUCAAGAAAAAAAAAGUCUAACAAUUGAAAAGAUCAUAUAAGUCUUACACUAUGAACGAACCCUCAGUUCAAAGAUUGAAAUUCUUGGAUAGCCCUGAUAAAUCUGGAUCAUCCCAUUUCCUCAUUCUGACCCUUUUCGCCGAAGAACCCUAUUUAGAUUAGAGUCCGCCACAAUAUAUAAUUGUUGGUAUGAAAGAAUUUUUUUUGUAAUGAAAAACUCAACUUUUAUUACAAGUGAAUUUCUGAAAAUUCUUUUCGAUUUCUAGAAAUUCUAGAAAUCACUUUAUUUCUUGGUGUCAAAAUCAAAACAAAAUAGGAUAUGUGGUAUAAAAACGGGGAAUCUAUUCUCUUCUUUUUCCAAAAAAAUGCUCUUGGAGAUUGUGUAAUGCUUACUAUUAAACUCUUUGUUUACACCGUAGUAAUAUUCUUUGUUUCUCUCUUCAUCUUCAGAUUUCUAUCUAAUGAUCUGGGACGUAAUCCUGGACGCGAAGAAUAAAAAAAGGGAGAGUUCCUUGCUUCAUUUUUAGAAAUGGUAUUAG